GGUCUGUCCCGUGACUUCCCGCCAGUGAGCCUUCGACACAUCACUUGGUCUCCAAGUGCACCUAGCCUGGCACGGGGCGCCGUGGUGACGUCACCGUCACUUAGUGGCGAAUGGCGGCUGUUGGUAUUGGUACGCUACUGUACACAAACUGUAUGCUACUGUACACGAUUUGCACACCGACACUACUGUACAUACUGCGCCACUGUACACAACUGUAUGCUACUGUACACGAUUUGCGCACCGACAAUACUGUACACUGUCCGCACUGUACGCGACUGUACGCGACUGUACACGGUUAGCACACCGACAAUACUGUGCACACUGUAUGCACUGCGCGACUGUAUGCUACUGUACACGAUUUGCACACCGGCGCUACUGUACACACUGUAUGCUACUGUACACGACUGUACAUUUCUGCGCUCUACUGUUCACUACAGUGCACAAAUGUACACGGCUGUACGCCACUGUACGCCACUGUACGCCUUACACCACUCUACAUUUACUGUACACCACGGUGUGUCACUGUACACGGCUACAUCACUGUACGCUACUGCUCGCUACUCUACUGUACACCACUGUGCAGCACUGUACACCACUGUGCACCACUGUACACCACUGUACACUGGCUUGUGGGUUUACUGUGAGAAUUUUAAGUAAUUUUUGUGCCAUCAGGCGGACCGACUCUGACAAACGUUCGGUCGACGUUGAGGCGACGUUGGGCUGACGUUGAGGCGACGUUGGGCUGACGUUGAGGCGACGUUGGGCUGACGUUGAGGCGACGUUGGGCUGACGUUGAGGCGACGUUGGGCUGACGUUGAGGCGACGUUGGGCAAAAUUCUGGCUUUUAUUUAUUUCAAAGAAAAAUAAAAACCGUUGAGAAAAUUA